AGUCAUAUGCUUGUCUCAAAGAUUAAGCCAUGCAUGUCUCAGUACAAGCCAAAUUAAGGUGAAACCGCGAAAGGCUCAUUAAAUCAGUUAUGGUUCCUUAGAUCGUACCCACAUUUACUUGGAUAACUGUGGUAAUUCUAGAGCUAAUACAUGCCAACAGAACUCCGACCGGAGACGGAAGGAGUGCCUUUAUUAGAUCAAAACCAAUCGGUGGCGCGGCCUCGGUCGUGUCAUCGUACAACAUGGUGAAUCUGAAUAACGUUUGCUGAUCGCACGGUCUCGCACCGGCGACGCAUCUUUCAAAUGUCUGCCUUAUCAACUGUCGAUGGUAGGUUCUGCGCCUACCAUGGUUGUAACGGGUAACGGGGAAUCAGGGUUCGAUUCCGGAGAGGGAGCCUGAGAAAC
rnacentral:rRNA from 1 species